AUUGAACGCUGGCGGCAGGCCUAACACAUGCAAGUCGAACGGUAGCACAGAGAGCUUGCUCUCGGGUGACGAGUGGCGGACGGGUGAGUAAUGUCUGGGAAACUGCCCGAUGGAGGGGGAUAACUACUGGAAACGGUAGCUAAUACCGCAUAACGUCGCAAGACCAAGGAGGGGGACCUUCGGGCCUCUUGCCAUCGGAUGUGCCCAGAUGGGAUUAGCUAGUAGGUGGGGUAACGGCUUACCUAGGCGACGAUCCCUAGCUGGUCUGAGAGGAGGGCCAGCCACAGUGGAACUGAGACACGGUCCAGACUCCUACGGGAGGCAGCAGUGGGGAAUCUUGCACAAUGGGCGCAAGUCUGGUGCCGCCAUGCCGCGGGUAUGAAGAAGGCCUUCGGGUUGUAAAGUACUUUCAGCGAGGAGGAAGGCGUUGUGGUUAAUAACCACAGCGAUUGACGUUACUCGCAGAAGAAGCACCGGCUAACUCCGUGCCAGCAGCCGCCGUAAAAC
rnacentral:rRNA from 1 species